rnacentral:rRNA from 1 species
AUUGAACUGAAGAGUUUGAUCCUGGCUCAGAUUGAACGCUGGCGGCAUGCCUAAUACAUGCAAGUC